UGAUUGUAAGUGCAGGUAUGUGACGAACAGCGAUGGGUUGUAACGAAAGCAUCCAUUUGGUGGAUCUCAGUGGAUGUUUAAGGAAGAGGAGGAGAAGAAAAAUGUAAAGAUGCCGCCUGAUUGACCGAAUGGAGGUCUGCCUAGGAGCCACCCCACUAGGACAGAUUUUGUAUGGACAGGCUCGAAUGGAGGGGCAGUCGGUGACCCCCACCACCUGGGGCAGGCUGAUGGUCUUGCACGUCUGCAGAAGUUCCAGGUCCUUGUUCAUGCAGCCGUCGUUGUUGCAGCGGUCGGACCGAGGAGCCGGGCCUUUCCACUCCUUGUGGCACUGCCAGCAGAACUGAUAGGUCUUCUUCCGGUCGGCCGUACAUAUGGUGCACUUGACGCACAGGUUGGAGAGAUCCUUCCUCUCCACACUCGUCCUGCACUGUGGGCACUGGUGUUCAGGUGUGGGGAAAUAAUGGAGAGGAGAACAUGCACAAUGUUUGAAUGUCUUUGUGGGUCAUUUUGCUUGAAAUUAAAAGUCAACUGUAGAAACAACAAA